rnacentral:rRNA from 1 species
UACAGAGGGGGCAAGCGUUGUUCGGAAUUACUGGGCGUAAAGGGCGCGUAGGCGGCCUUCUAAGUCGAACGUGAAAUCCCCGGGCUCAACCCGGGAACUGCGUCCGAGACUGGAAGGCUUGAAUCCGGGAGAGGGAUGUGGAAUUCCAGGUGUAGCGGUGAAAUGCGUAGAUAUCUGGAGGAACAUCGGUGGCGAAGGCGGCUUCCUGGACCGGUUCUGACACUGAGGAGCGAAAGCGUGGGGAGCGAUCCGG